rnacentral:rRNA from 1 species
AUCAUGGCUCAGAACGAACGCUGGCGGCAUGCCUAACACAUGCAAGUCGAACGAGACCUUCGGGUCUAGUGGCGCACGGGUGCGUAACGCGUGGGAAUCUGCCCUUUGCUUCGGAAUAACAGUUAGAAAUGACUGCUAAUACCGGAUGAUGUCUUCGGACCAAAGAUUUAUCGGCAAAGGAUGAGCCCGCGUAGGAUUAGGUAGUUGGUGGGGUAAAGGCCUACCAAGCCGACGAUCCUUAGCUGGUCUGAGAGGAUGAUCAGCCACACUGGGACUGAGACACGGCCCAGACUCCUACGGGAGGCAGCAGUGGGGAAUAUUGGACAAUGGGCGCAAGCCUGAUCCAGCAAUGCCGCGUGAGUGAUGAAGGCCUUCGGGUCGUAAAGCUCUUUACCAGGGAUGAUAAUGACAGUACCUGGAGAAUAAGCUCCGGCUAACUCCGUG